CUUCUUUUUCAAAUGUCCAUGACAAUCGUUUAUGGCCAUCACCGGCAUCGGUAAACAGAUAAACGGAACCGGGCUGUUGAAACCCCAGGUAUUGCUCGGCCAAAUGAAUGUAUUCGGACACCGGCUGGUCCCACUGCGAUGCUCUCUCCCUCACCUGCUCUUCCGUCGCAUCGCAGACCCAAGCGUUGAGGCCAUCGGUGAUGGACACGUGGAAGUGAGAAUCGAACCAUAUGCCUUUGACGAAAAUUGGUUCGGAUUGGGCGGUGGGGAUUUGAAGCUUCAGGCAGGUGUGCCUGGGAGCUGUUAUUUCCAUUGAGAAGCUGCAAAAGGCAGUAAAAGGUUAUGCUUACUAUGCAGAAAGAAGGAGAGAGAGAGAGGCACUCGAUUUUAGUCUUCCCGCCCCCUGCCGGUCAUCGUG
rnacentral:misc_RNA from 1 species